CGCUCGGCUGGGCGCUCCGUUCUUGCUAUGCUUCCGCGGCCGCUCGGGGUGCCACUGCCCCGUUCACAUGAGGCGACCCGCCGCAGCCCUGAGGAGCCGGCUCGGUCCGAGCCUCCCGUCUGGUGACAGCCGGCAUCGCUUCAUGUGGUAAAAGUGGCCGCGCUGCGUCGGAGCGGAGGUGUGGCUGCUGCGGAACCUUCACCCUCAGCCCUGGGGUUCCUUCAGAGGGGAGGAGGCGCGGGGUGAACGAGGCUGAGGCAAAACGUCUGCCUGGCGCCCUCCAAACCGCUCAGCGGCGCGCGGCCAGCAGAGGGGCUGUCCCACGGGCACGGCUGCCCCGUCCCACCGGGCCGGCUGUCCCCGCCGCUCCCUUUGCUCUCCGCAGAACUUUCCCGCCCACGUGCGAAGCGCGGCGCUCUGAAGUGAUGACGGGCGGGAAGCGAAGCUCGGCCGGGGCCGGGGCCGGUGGUGCUGUAACUGCCUCACGUUAUCGGCGGGGCUCUCAGCUGACGUUUGUCGCUCGUCUGUGCUUUAAUGAAAUGUCGGUACGCGUACCCACACACACGUGGGUAGCUGUCGUUAUUGGCUAUUUAUGUUCCUUUUGCGCUCUAUCUUGCGUAGUUUUGCUUGUUGUACUUGAAUAUUUAUUGUAUAUGUCUCUAAUUAACUCUUGCUUAUUUUUUUGUCUGCUACUCAAAAUUUACAUUUUGAGUUUUUUAUAUAUAUAUCUGCACUAAUUUCUGUGCACUUCUUUAAGUUCAUCUUUGCCACCUUUUCACCUACAUUCUCCCUUUUUUUGUACCUCCAAAAAAGUUAUAUUUAUUAAAGAUUACGUUACACACCUUAUCCUGUUCAUCACAGUCUUUGCUUAGUAUUGCAGUUUCUUAGUCACACAGUCAUUAAGGUUGGAAAAGACCACUAAGAUGGUCCAUUGCAACCACAGUGUGUUCCCUAAGGUUCCCUGCGCUCCCCAGCCUGUUCAUUGCUGCUGCUGAAUGUACCCUCAGUCACCUUCUAGGCAGCAGUAAGCUCCUCAGAAAUGUACAUGUAGCUUCUCUCAUAACACCAGGGGACUUCUUGCUAAUGCUGGUGUUGCACUGGGUGUCUGCCAGUCUUCUGUCGGCAUAAAUAGCCACAGAGCAUCUCCAGGUGAUCAAAGGCUGAUCUUGAGGCCAGUGAUGCACUGUGGCAGUCAACUUGGCGAGAGAAAGACUCCUGAAUGUUGUGUAUCUACAGCUGUUCCUGGAAGUUGUUCACUGCCUGUCAUCUGUCCGUGUUUCCUGCCUGCUGUUUAUGUGCCUCUGCUGCUUCUGGUGGUGCAUCCUUCUCAAUUUCAGAACCAGGAGGAGGAGCCAGAGGGCAACUUUCCAGACGGGAGUAAAAAAAGAUAAUUAGACUGUGAUCUAUAAAUGUUAGGCUGUGACAGCCUGCCAGAACUUCUCAUGCAGCACCUACUGAUUGGAGUUUUGUAAAGAAGCUUCACAAAAGCAGAAGCAGCAGAAGAUGGAGUCACCCUACAGGUGCACGCUGCAGCAGUUCUCCCUUCAGUCUUCCCAACAGGAUUUGUGAGAGGCUGUACCUCAACAUCUUUAUUGGUAAUGGAUCCUUCCCUUAAUUUGCUGUGAUGCAUUUGGAAUGUCAGCUUCUAAAACAAGGCACAUGGGAGGCAUCUAAAGUAGAUUUUUUGAAAGGAAAAUGAACAAAGAGCAUGUCAGGUUCCAUUUUGAUUUGCAUGACAAAUCCAGCAUGCAGCAUUCGGGAGGGCUGGGCUGGGCUUGCCUGCCACUCACUGCAUUUGUCACUUUGGUUUGAACACUUUUGACAGUCUGUAAUGUUAAUUGUUCUAAGGAUUGUUUUGCUGGAAGAAGAAAAGGAAAGGAUUUUGGUUCUUGUUCUACUUUUUCCAUGUACAGGAAAGGAGGGAUAUCUGAGGAAGCAGAAAAUGAUUUCAAACUGGGUUUGAUCUGUUUGUAAGUAAUCCUGUGAGUUCAUCAAUAAGUUCAGUACUUUAAAUGUUAUUGUGUACGUGUGUUUUGAGAAAUACUAGGCCCCUAAACUAGUAACCUGGGGAGUCUAUUGUUUUGGUGCACACCAUUCUUUCUUCCUUUAAGUCCCACAGAGAUGGGUCCUGCAGAGCGGUUUGUACUAUGCCUGUGUGCUUCUAUCUGAUGAUAUUGUGGUGCUUUGACAAGUGCUAAGAAGGAAUUUAAUGCCCUAAGAAGCACUGGUGGACACACAUUGUUACUGUGCUGGUUUUCAGCCAAAUGAGAGCCUUAAAGAACGGAGAGAGGAAGAAGACAAUGUCCCACAAGUUUCCAGACAAACACCUCCUGCUUUUUCAUCUAUUUUACAAGCAACAGGGCAGAACGCAGCUGUGAAGGUGCCAACUCAUAGCGUACGGGCAGUGCUACUGAUGGCAGGUAUUAUAAAAAGACCACCCUUCUGUCUUCACUUAGUUGUUUCCCUGGGAUGUCCAACAUCUAAGAAACAAACACGCCGUGCCUGGUUUUAUUAUGCUAACGUACUCAGAAGAACGAUGGCCACGGGAGGGGAGAGCCCCGUGCCUGGCACAACCCCGCCGGGCACGCACCGCUCAGCCUUCGGGAGGCACGGGCCUGGCGCAGCACCGAGCGCUUCUGCCGCUCCUGAGAUGAGAAAGCUCCUCUCUCCUUCCUGCCCUCAGCACGUCCAUACCCACGUGCGUCUCCCCACCGUCGCACCUCU